AAUGAGUACAGGGCAACUAAAGCACCUCAAGCAGAAGCUCCAGACUCCUAGAAAUGAAAUCAGAGCUGUAGAAGCAUGUUUGCUAUGUUGUUAUUCACAGAGAGGAGCUAGCCUAAGCUCCCUGAAGAACUCUCAUUAGUGGCUUAAAGAGUGUGUAGGACCAGCCUCUCCUUGAUUUCAACCAAAUUUAAAACCAUCUCUUGAUCCUCUUCUUCCAGUAACUGGAAUUGGACCAAAGUCUCCACAAUGUAAAACUGCCAUGUAACAGCUUGUGAUGCCAUGUCCAUCUGUUACUUCUCUAUGCCUUGUGACAGAAAAAGCACUUUCCAGCAAAGUUGCUGAAGCAUAUGAAAUGGACUUUAAAGGCACCAUGUGUAAUAUUUAAUGCAUAAAAGGGCCUACUCCCACUUUGUUUUGCCCUAUGAUCACUCAUUCCCAACUGUUUGAAUCUGGACUGUGCCAGUGUAUAACCAACAACUACUGUACAGCUACAGCAUCCCAUACUGGCACUUAGGACACAUUUUUAUUUUCACAAAUUAUUUUAAAUUAAGCGUAAAAGUAAAGAUACG